UGGGGUGUAGCCAAGAGGUAAGGCAAGGGGUUUUGCCCCCCCCCUGACCCAUUGGUUCGAUUCCAACCAUCCCAG
rnacentral:tRNA from 1 species